UGGGGAAUAUUGCACAAUGGGCGCAAGCCUGAUGCAGCAACGCCGCGUGAAGGAAGACGGUCUUCGGAUUGUAAACUUCUGUUCUUAGUGAAGAAAAUGACGGUAGCUAAGGAGCAAGCCACGGCUAACCACGUGCCAGCAGCCGCGGUAAUACGUAGGUGGCAAGCGUUGUCCGGAAUUACUGGGUGUAAAGGGAGCGCAGGCGGGAGAGCAAGUCAGCUGUGAAAUCCAUGGGCUUAACCCAUGAACUGCAGUUGAAACUGUUUUUCUUGAGUGAAGUAGAGGUUGGCGGAAUUUCGAGUGUAGCGGUGAAAUGCGUAGAUAUUAGGAGGAACACCAGUGGCGAAGGCGGAUUGCUGGACGACAACUGACGGUGAGGCGCGAAAGCGUGGGGAGCAAACAGGAUUAGAUACCCUGGUAGU
rnacentral:rRNA from 1 species